CUCCUACGGGAGGCAGCAGUGGGGAAUAUUGGACAAUGGGCGCAAGCCUGAUCCAGCCAUGCCGCGUGAGUGAUGACGGCCUUAGGGUUGUAAAGCUCUUUUCGCGAGGGACGAUAAUGACGGUACCUCGAUAAGAAGCCCCGGCUAACUUCGUGCCAGCAGCCGCGGUAAUUC
rnacentral:rRNA from 1 species